UUCCUGGCGUUACUAAAAUAUUAUAGAAAUUACAAUAAAGGAAAGUGAGACAAUAUGAAUAAACAUUAUAUUUACUUUUAUACUUUGAAUGGAUACAUAAAAGGGAAACAGUUGCUUAAAGUAUAUAAUAUACUAUUACCGACGUCGAUCACCCACCAUACAAAAUGAAGUUCCUUGGCCUCAUUCUCUUAUCGAGUUUGGCAUUCUUUUGGACUGCUGACGCUGGGUGUAGUAGUAACAGACAAUGCAAUGAUGACGAAUGUUGUAUCACAUCUACAGAAGAAGGAAAAUGUAGAAAGCUUGGAACAGAAGGUGACAUUUGCGAAUCUGGUCAGAGCAACGUCUACCACUGUCCUUGCGCAAAGGGUUAUAUUUGCACACAUACUAGGG